CCUGAAUAUAAUAUAAUACGGUUCGGCGUUUUAAAUAUUCCCAUAAUACCCAAAGUACAGUUUCGAAUAUUGUUUAUUUUUUUUUUUCCACACCGACAGAAACAAACGCGACGUACAGAUUGUCCCGUUGCUAAUCCAAUUUGUCCUUAUUUAAAACGAAAUACAACGACAACAACAACGAUCGGGUAUAUUUAUAUAAAUAUAUAUAUAUUUUUAUUUUUUUUUUUUUAACAAAGACAUUAUAAAACGUCGUUUUAUUCGCGAACGUACAAAUUAUACGAAAAUUAAAUUAUUAUAAAAACAUUUAUCGUGUAUUUACUGCGCUGUUAUUGUGCGACAGCAGUCGUUCGCUGUUAACAUCGCAGCCGCUACAACUAUACGUGUAAUAAUAAUUUAUAAUAAAUACAUUUUUUUAAUGAAAAAUACAAAUUUAUAUAUUUACACGUAAACACGUAUAAAACGCGAUUUGUACUUCUAUGUUCAGUACAUUUUAUUCGUAAUACGUUAAUAACAUGAUAUAUUGCGUCCGAGGGAAAUCGAAUAAAUCGAAACAUAUUACGGUAAAUUGUUUUAAUAAAUUAUAAUCCACGAAACGUUUUUUUUUUUUUUUUUUGAUUUACGUCUAUAUUAUUAAAUUAUAUAUAAAACAAAAAUAUUAAUAUAUAUUUUGAAUAAUAUACUACGAUAACGUUAUAUUUUUAUCCUAUUGCGGGAGGCGCCUACGUAAACGCGACGAUAAUUUUCGAAUAUAUUAUGCGACCAAAAGCAGGGACUCGUUUUCACAGCGGUGCGUAACGAUAAAAUAAUAAAUACACGAAUAUUAUAAACAAAAAAAAAAAAAAAAAAUAUUGGCAAGUUUUCAUCUUGAAACUCGUUCGAGGGGACCGUAACAAAAGAUAUGUUCUUUAAGUCUCGCGCGCAAAUAUUCGACGACAAUUUCGGUUCCGACUUUUAAAACUGCGAUUUUAUAGCUUAUGCGAUUAUUUGAAAAAAAAAACUUUAUGCGAUUUUUGUUUUAUUUUUUUUUUUUUUUAUUCACGAUCGAUAAAUACUGAAACGGUUGUUUGUAUUUUGUUUUUUAAUAUUCGUUAUUUCGACCUAUCCUAUUUGUAGUUUACCGAGUUCUUGCGACGUUUCGUAUGAUAAAAAAUUAAUACAUUUGAAAAAAAAUACACACGUUUCACGAAUUAUUGCAAUAACGUACCCGUAAAAAUAUCGGCGUAGCCUUGAGAUUCCGCGCGAUUUGGUUCGGUUCGGAAAGCGAUCGGUUUAACGAGCGAUGUAACGAAAACGGUUUUUUUAUUGUUAUUAUUCGCCGUACACGAUUAUCACAAUAAACGAUCGAACCCGCCGAAUCGAUGAUAA